rnacentral:rRNA from 1 species
AGUGGGGAAUAUUGCACAAUGGGCGCAAGCCUGAUGCAGCGACGCCGCGUGAGGGAUGAAGGCCUUCGGGUUGUAAACCUCUUUCAGCAGGGAAGAAGCGCAAGUGACGGUACCUGCAGAAGAAGCGCCGGCUAACUACGUGCCAGCAGCCGCGGUAAUACGUAGGGCGCAAGCGUUGUCCGGAAUUAUUGGGCGUAAAGAGCUCGUAGGCGGUUUGUCGCGUCUGCUGUGAAAACUCGAGGCUCAACCUCGGGCUUGCAGUGGGUACGGGCAGACUAGAGUGCGGUAGGGGUGACUGGAAUUCCUGGUGUAGCGGUGGAAUGCGCAGAUAUCAGGAGGAACACCGAUGGCGAAGGCAGGUCACUGGGCCGCAACUGACGCUGAGGAGCGAAAGCAUGGGGAGCGAA